AAAGACUAUGACAAAUUGUAUACGUACAAAUAGAAUAGCAAUUAAGAAUUCAAUUAGCAUUGAAUUAGAUAAAAUUGAUACCAAGACUAAGAUGUGAAUAAUCAAUGCACUACAUGUAUACGUACAUGAUCAGCUCUUUCCUACAAGGAGGAAUAUCAACAGGCAAUAACGUGAAGUUCUAACUUACGGGUUUUGUUCUCCGCUUUCAUCUCGUUGUUCCGUUUGUCGAGUUGUUGGAUUCGGGAUUUCUUCAAAGUUGAGUAAGAUUGAAGAAGAGUAUUUCUUGGUAUAUGAGGUUUAUCAUAUUAAUUGUGGAAGUUCUUGGAUGGACUGAGCUCUUGAACAACGUGAGGUACAGACGCUCGUUUUGGUGAUCCGCCAGCUUAGGAUUCCUAUUCAGCUAUCUUGGAGAGCUCUGUUGUUCCGAAGCCUAGAUCUUGGUACAGAUCCCUUUUGAUAUAUAUAUAUAUAUAUACAUAUGUUGUUUAACGGUACGACGGGGCCCUGUCCCGUCAUAUUUCACUGUUGAACUCUUAGAGGUAUGUAGACAUGUAUGUGGGUUGUGUUCAGAUGUGGUCAGUUGUGCCUAUAUGGUCAUUAUGGAUGUUCUAGUGCUGUAGCAGCCUUGCCGACUUGCAUAUAUUAUCGUCUCGUAGCGGCAGCCUUGUCGGCUUGCGUAAUAUUCUAAUAUGUAGUGGUAGCCUUGUCGGCUUGCGUAGAAUAAUAAUGUAUACAGUGGCAGCCUCGUCGGCUUGCGUAUGUUA